AAAAACAUAUUCUGCAAUCUACAAUGAUACAAAUGAGCCAGCUUCUACUAAGGGUUGGCAGUCUUUGUACCCGUCGAUAGAGCAGUUGGAGAUAUAAUGUGGGGAGACCUGAUCUCCAUUAAUCACCGUGUCAUAACUAGACAGUUCACUUUUGACAGUAUUCACAUUGUCAAGUACUUGGCCUCUUUUCACUGUUUUUGCUUCGGAAGGGUGACAACAAGGAGAAAUGGCGAGGAGUCUUUUGAGCAGUACUACUAGCAGUGGGGGUUUCAUCCUGAGAGAUGAGAUUCUUCAACGUAUGAACUUCACUAGAGGAAGCAAUGUUUGAAACACUAUUAUCUGCCUCCGAACCAUUCGCACUGCCAUUAUCCAAUUCAACAUUGUGCUCACUCAUAGUAUGACUCUUUUUUUCCAAACUUCAGCAGCCGUCUAAAACCUUUUGAUGUUUCCUUCAUCUGAGGCUUAUCUAAUCCUUCAGGGAUCUUUUCUAAUUUCAAGCUUUUAGGAUCAGAUACAUGAACUUUGAGAGCCUCUGUGUAUGUUGUUCUCUGUAAGCUUGUUGGAGGUGCUUUACCAUACUCUGAAUUCCCAGUACAUGGAUCUUCCAGAGAAGAGACCCGAACAAAAGGAGCUUGGUAUGGUUUUUCAGCAAGGGUAACACUUGAAUGCUCUGGCAAUUCCUUCUCAACAUUACCUGCAUUUUCAGUUGCGGUCUCAAUUGCACUGGGUAGCACUUCUAAUCGGUGUUUGCCAGGUUCAAUAUCAGCCCCAUCCAAGUUAAGUGGUGAAACUGGUGCUCGGAUAGCUGCAUAGUUUGGCAGAGUCUCAGCUUUCUCUACAAUUUUAUAGUUGCUAGAGUAUCCUGUUUCAGAGCCUAUAUUUUCUUCUGAUGUGUGCAUGGCAGGAAUGGAUGGCUUUUCACAUUCUAGCAUCACAACAGACUUUUCAAUUAUUGAAUUGUCAUCUCCAUCACUAUGAUGUGACCUUAUAUCACUAUUCCUUUUCAGUUCAGCACCUCCAGAAGUAGUACCAGACUUGCUUCCGUUCACCUUCUGGGGCAUUUCUUUCACAGAUGAUUUGGCUAGAGGAACUUCACGUCGUGUUGUGGUUCUAAUCUUCAGUUCUGGGAGAGAUGCAGUCUUGUUUUUAUCAUGGUUCAUGAUUGCAGAUAUUUUCUUGCUCUCAGGUCCAUUUGACACUUUAGGCUUUGAUACUGGUUCAGUGAUUCGUGGCUUAACCAAAGAAACAUGAUGGCCGCUACUAAUUUUAGGUUCUGAUAAUCUUCUAAUUCGGGCCAUGGAUGCCUUUGCAUCAGGAGUUACACUACCAUUCUCUUUCUUUGGUUCAGGCAAUGA
rnacentral:misc_RNA from 1 species